GGGCACGACACCGGAGAGGGAGCCUGAGAAACGGCUACCACAUCCAAGGAUGGCAGCAGGCGCGCAAAUUACCCAAUCCCGACACGGGGAGGUAGUGACAAUAAAUAACAAUACGGGGUUCUUUCGGAUCUCGUAAUUGGAAUGAGUACAAUUUAAAUCUCUUAACGAGGAACAAUUGGAGGGCAAGUCUGGUGCCAGCAGCCGCGGUAAUUCCAGCUCCAAUAGCGUAUAUUAAAGUUGUUGCAGUUAAAAAGCUCGUAGUUGAAUUUCGGGAUCAGAUUGUCGGUCGUGCCUCGGUACGCACUGGCAUUAUUGGUUCCUACCUUCUGAAGAACCGCGAUGUCAUUAAUUUGGUGUCGUGGGGAAUCAGGACUGUUACUUUGAAAAAAUUAGAGUGUUUAAAGCAGGCGCACGCUUGAAUACAUUAGCAUGGAAUAAUGAAAUAGGACGUUUGAUUCUAUUUUGUUGGUUUCUAGGAUCGACGUAAUGAUUAAUAGGGAUAGUUGGGGGCAUUAGUAUUCAAUUGUCAGAGGUGAAAUUCUUGGAUUUAUUGAAGACUAACUACUGCGAAAGCAUUUGCCAAGGAUGUUUUCAUUAAUCAAGAACGAAAGUUAGGGGAUCGAAGACGAUCAGAUACCGUCGUAGUCUUAACCAUAAACUAUGCCGACUAGGGAUCGGAUGAUGUUAAUUCUUUAAUGACUCAUUCGGCGCCUUACGGGAAACCAAAG
rnacentral:rRNA from 1 species